AACGAACGCUGGCGGCAGGCUUAACACAUGCAAGUCGAGCGGGCCCUUCGGGGUCAGCGGCAGACGGGUGAGUAACGCGUGGGAAUCUACCCAGUCCUGCGGAAUAGCUCCGGGAAACUGGAAUUAAUACCGCAUACGCCCUUUUGGGGAAAGAUUUAUCGGGAUUGGAUGGGCCCGCGUUGGAUUAGCUAGUUGGUGGGGUAAUGGCUCACCAAGGCGACGAUCCAUAGCUGGUCUGAGAGGAUGAUCAGCCACACUGGGACUGAGACACGGCCCAGACUCCUACGGGAGGCAGCAGUGGGGAAUAUUGGACAAUGGGCGCAAGCCUGAUCCAGCCAUGCCGCGUGAGUGAUGAAGGCCUUAGGGUUGUAAAGCUCUUUCACCGGUGAAGAUAAUGACGGUAACCGGAGAAGAAGCCCCGGCUAACUUCGUGCCAGCAGCCGCCGCGGUAA
rnacentral:rRNA from 1 species